rnacentral:rRNA from 1 species
AACGCGAAGAACCUUACCUGGUCUUGCAUCCACAGAACCUUGUAGAGAUACGAGGGUGCCUUCGGGAACUGUGAGACAGGUGCUGCAUGGCUGUCGUCAGCUCGUGUUGUGAAAUGUUGGGUUAAGUCCCGCAACGAGCGCAACCCUUAUCCUUUGUUGCCAGCGGUCCGGCCGGGAACUCAAAGGAGACUGCCAGUGAUAAACUGGAGGAAGGUGGGGAUGACGUCAAGUCAUCAUGGCCCUUACGACCAGGGCUACACACGUGCUACAAUGGCGCAUACAAAGAGAAGCGACCUCGCGAGAGCAAGCGGACCUCAUAAAGUGCGUCGUAGUCCGGAUUGGAGUCUGCAACUCGACUCCAUGAAGUCGGAAUCGYUAGUAAUCGUGGAUCAAAAUGCCACGGUGAAUACGUUCCCGGGUCUUGUACACACCGGUG